rnacentral:lncRNA from 1 species
AUCAAUCGUACGAAGAAAAUAAUAUUAUAAAAAGAAAAAAAAAUUAAUUCAAAUAUAUUAAUAUGUAAUAUUACAAAAAGAAUUUGUAGUGUUACAAUGAUCCAUGACAAUCAUAAUUCGACAAGCCAAAUCUAAUAUUGAAAUCACACUGCCAGGUUGCAUGAGUAAUGAAAUCAGCAAAUAGAUUUCCUUGCACUUUGGCGAGGAACUUGCAGCCUUUACAAGAUUUUCUUUAGCAUGCAUUCUGCAUCAGUGAAACAACUCUUUAUGUCAAAAUACAACAAAAGAAUCAAACUUGGAUAAAGGACCAGUUUAAAAGUAUAUGUUGCACAACAUGAUUUGAUUUUUCCGAUUGGAUUUGAGAAAGUUUAUGUUUAUUUGCCUAGAACAAAUAAAUGGCAAUGAGACCAUCUUUGAACUGAUCAAUUAUUGGGUAACAUUUAGGAAGUUUAUUAUGGAUCAUAACAGUAAGGAUUCAACAAAUAUUUAUUUGCCUAAAAAAGAGUAAGGGGUGGGAGAUUUGUGAACAGGAACAGUAGCAGAUUGUGCAAAAACUGCCUACACUCACUCCCAGAUUGUGCAGGAGGAUCAGUAGCAUCCCCAAACGCAGAGCUCUCAGGCCAAUGCAUCAAAUACAAAACCAAGUAAGAUACCCCAAGGUUCUUAAGAGAUACUCUAACAGAUUUUCAAUCUUAUUAAUAGAUUUCACAGUACAAUACAACUUAAGAGGUCAAAAAAGAUCCUCCCUCUUCAAUGAACCUUUCAUAUUUUGACUAAUGCUUCCCCAACUUCAACCUCAUUCCCAUAAAGAUGUGCACAAUCUAUGUGACAAUUUCAAAAUGCAAACAAAGAAAUCUUUAAACCAAAUCCAAUAGGAAAAAACAGGUAAAAAAAUCAAACAGGUAAACAAAAAAAGGUAACCCAAAUAUACGAAAUGACCAAACAGGUUAAAAAAAAAAAGAUGAACAACAAUUUCAUCCUAAAAAAAAAGGUAACCCAAAUAUACGAAAUGACCCAACAAUUUCAUCCCUUUAAACUUCUUGAGAUGAACAAACAGGUAAAAAAAAAGGAUUAUACGAAAUGAACCAGUAACACAAGUAUCACAGCAAAGCAGACUUUAGACCAAAUCCAAUCGGAAAAAUCAAAUCUUGGAUGCCCAACUUGGGAAAGUGAUAUCAAAGACGAUAACAAACUUGGGAAAGUGAUAUUUAUUUUUAGUCAAGAAAUGAUCUUAUGGGAAUAUAACUCUUUUUACCCUAGGGACAUGAUUAAAUAUAUAAAACAAGGCAGUGUACCAUCAUAGCAAUCCGCAUGUAGCGCAAGGUUUAAAAAAAGUAAUCCGCAUGUAGCACAAUGCAAUAAGAACAUCUAGACCAGUUAUGCAUUUGUUAGUGUGCAAGGUUUAAAAAAAGUAAGUACACUGUAAUUUUUAUUAUACCAAAGCUCAACGAGGAAAAUAAAAAAGUAGCAACCUCAAUCUUUAAGACAGUCUAUAUAUCAGUAAAUAUGUCGAACACCUUCAUAACAUUAAUAAAUAUAUGGACCAACCUAUGAAACUUGAGCCAAAUAACAAAGGUUAAUGUAAAUACAAGAUGCCAAACAAAUACCCCUCCACUAUAACACUGUACCUUAACAGAGACCAGCUAGCUAGUAUAACCAGAUUGCCUACGUAGUGAAGAAUUGCAACAUUUAUCUUUCUAAUCUUUUGGAUAAUGUAAAUAAAAGACUUCUCAAUUACCUCUUUCUGUGAUAAUUCCAGCAAUUAACUUUUGCUCCCCAGGUCUCACCAUUGCAUAUAUGUGGUUGCCUGUGUAUGUAUAAAAUAAUGUAUUGAUAUAAAAGAAGUAGUUUCAUAAUUAAAAUCACAAAUGCCACAUAGAUGCAAAAUAAGAAAACUGAUCCACCUCCCGAAAAUGCAUAAACUUCAUAUAAAAGUCAAUUACAACACUAGUUCAUAUUUCAAAAAAUACUACAGAUUCACAAAAACUAAGCUCCAAACCAUUUGCUUGAUUAAAUUAGGCAAAUAUAAAUCUAACAAAGAAAAAAGAUGGGCAUUUUAAUAUAUAUUCCUUUGUUCAAGACAGAUACAAAAGCAAGAAUACCUGGUCAAUCGCAUGAGGGUUUGACGAUUUGACAGAGGAAUCGCUCGAAAAAGGAGAGAGGCUCGCAAUCGUUUAGAAAUCGCAGCAGGGUUUGAUUUUCAUAGCAGGAGGGAGGGUUUAGUUGAAAUCACAGCAGAAAUCGCAACAGUCGUAGCAGGGUUUAGGAAUUGAAGUCGCAGCAGUAGCAGAAGGGUUUAGGAAUCGAAUUCGAAGGAGAAAAUCGAGAAAGGGAGGGUUUAUUUGAAACCGCAAGACGAAAUCGAAGCAGUCGAAGCAUAGUUUAGGAAUCGAAAUCGCAGCAAUCGAAGGAGAAAAUUGAAGGAGAGGGAAAUCGAAGGAGGGGCAGUCGCAGAAGGAAAAUCGUAGGAGAUUCGAAGGAGGGGCUCGUACGCCAAUUGAACUAUCAGACAACAGUCGGGGGCAAUUUGGGAUGAAUUAUUUUUUUUCAUCUUCGAUUAGUUCAAGUAGCGGACGACGGCUUACCGUAU